rnacentral:rRNA from 1 species
AUAGGUAAAGCUACAAAGAGCUAAUGGAGGAUGCCUUGGCAUUGACAGCCGACGAAGGACGUGUAAAGCUGCGAAAAUCCACGGGGAACUGCUAAAAAGUCUUGAUCCGUGGGAGUCCGAAUGGGGAAACCCCUUAAAGUUAAAGCUUUGAGAUCCGCAAAUGAAUUAAUAGUUUGCGUGAGGGAAAGCCUGUGAACUGAAACAUCUUAGUAACAGGACGAAGAGAAAAUAAACUAAUGAUUCCGAGAGUAGCGGCGAGCGAAAUUGGAAGAGCCUAAACCUUUGGUACGUGAUAGCCUGUAAGUGUUGUAUCAAAGGGGUUGUGGGACUUAUAAGACAAGUUACAGCUUGUUGAAUCAGUUACAAAGUUAUUUAGUAGUUGAAUACAACUGGGAAGUUGAGCCAUAGAGUGUGAUAGCCACUUAAGCGAAACUAAAUAAUCUGAUAAUAAGCACCCGAGUAAGGCGGGGCACGUGAAACCCUGUCUGAAUCUACCGGGACCAUCCGGUAAGGCUAAAUACUAGUCAGUGACCGAUAGUGAACGAGUACAGUGAUGGAAAGGCGAAAAGAACAGUGAGAAGCUGAGUGAAAUAGACCCUAAAACCGUUAGCUUACAAUCAGUUAGAGCCCUAUUGAUAGGGUGAUAGCGUGCCUGUUGAAGAAUGAGCCGGCGAGUUAAUUUAUGUUGCGAGGUUAAGGAGUUGAUAUCUGGAGCCAUAGCGAAAGCGAGUUUGAAAAGAGCGUUAAGUAACAUGAAUUAGACCCGAACCUUGGCGAUCUAACCUUGACCAGGAUGAAGCGUGGGUAACACUACGUGGAGGUCCGAACCAACCGAUGUUGAAAAAUCGGUGGAUGAGUUGAGGUUAGGGGUGAAAUGCCAAUCGAGCCAAGAGCUAGCUGGUUCUCCCCGAAAUGCGUUUAGGCACAGCGUUGGACUUAUCUUACCGGAGGUAGAGCACUAGUCUGAUGCGGGCGGCGAAAUGCCGUACCAAAUCAUGUUAAACUCCGAAUACCGGUAAAGUUACUAUCCAGCAGUGAGGCAGCGAGUGCUAAGAUCCGUUGCCAAGAGGGAAACAGCCCAGAACGCCAGUUAAGGUCCCAAAUAUAUGCUAAGUGGUUAAGGAGGUAGAGUUGCUUAGACAACCAGGAGGUUGGCUUAGAAGCAGCCAUUCCUUGAAAGAGUGCGUAAUAGCUCACUGGUCAAGCGACUCCGCGCCGAAAAUACACCGGGACUAAAGCAUAUAACCGAAACUGCGUCAUUAAGUUUACUUAAUGGGUAGGGGAGCGUACUGUAGUAGGACGAAGUAAGAUCGAAAGGACUUAUGGACGAGGCAGUAGUGAGAAUGUCGGCAUAAGUAGCGAAAACAUUGGUGAGAAUCCAAUGCACCGAAAACCUAAGGUUUCCCACGGCAGGCUCGUCCGCGUGGGGUUAGUCGGAUCCUAAGCUGAGGCCGAAAGGCGUAGGCGAUGGGCAUCAGGUUGAUAUUCCUGAACUAUCGAUUAAUCGUUAUUAGAGGCGGAGGGACGCAGGAGGAUAGACAAGCAGCCGACUGGAAGUGGCUGUAAAGAUAUGUAGGUAGAAUGGGUAGGAAAAUCCGCUCAUUCGUUAUAAACUGAGGUAUCGAGUAGGACUCUCUACGGAGGGGAAGUUGUUGAAUCCACACUGCCAAGAAAAGCUUCGCACUUGAGAUUAAUAGGUAUCCGUACCGGAAACCGCCACAGGUAGGUUGGUAGAGAAUACUAAGGUGCGCGAGAUAACUCUCGCUAAGGAACUCGGCAAAAUCACCUCGUAACUUCGGGAGAAGAGGUACCCUGGUAGAGUGAAGCGGUUCACCCGUGGAGCUUGAUAGGGUCGCAGUGAAUAGGCCCAUGCGACUGUUUACCAAAAACACAGGUCUCUGCAAAGUCGAUCAAGACGAUGUAUAGGGGCUGACGCCUGCCCGGUGUCGGAAGGUUACGUGGAAGUGUUAGAAGCAAUUCGAAGCACCGAAACUAAGCCCCGAUGAACGGCGGCCGUAACUAUAACGGUCCUAAGGUAGCGAAAUUCCUUGUCAGGUAAGUUCUGACCCGCACGAAUGGCGUAACGAUAUGGGCGCUGUCUCGGCGAGAGGCUCGGCGAAAUUGGAUUAUCCGUGAAGAUACGGAUUACGUGUACCAGGACAGAAAGACCCUAUUGAGCUUUACUGUAGCUUGAAAUUGAAUUCGGGUUCUUAUUGUGCAGUAUAGGUGGGAGACUAUGAAGCUAGGACGUCAGUUUUAGUGGAGUCAUCGUUGAGAUACCACUCUGUAAUAAUUUGAAUUCUAACCUUGAACCCUCGAAGAACAGGGCAAGGGACAGUUUCUGGUAGGCAGUUUGACUGGG